rnacentral:lncRNA from 1 species
UAUAUAACUCCCAAGGUAUUUUUCUCGGCUAUUGUCGGCAUAACAUUCAUAACCCACAUUUUGGGAGAAUGAAGAGCUGCAGCAAAACCUCCAAGUCCAGCAUUCAUAUCCAUGAUAUUACGGUACCUUCCUGUGUCAAUGAGUUUGUUAAUUUUUGUAUAAGCACUUACAUGCUUCUUCCAUUUCUUGUUGUCUUCCAGAUAUGCCUCAACGGAGACUCCAGAAACUAGUCCAUUAGCAAUUCUUGGGGGAACAGCAAAAAGUCUCUCAGGGAAUGGCUUUAAGCCCUCAUCAUCACCAUUACCUUUGCUUGUUGUUAUGCAUCCUUCCAUUUUCUUAUACCUGAUAAACAGAAGCAAAACAAUGGAUUAACCCAGGGAAUGGCUUUAAGCUCUCAUCAUCACCAUUACCUUUGCUUGUUG